CUUAGACAGGAUUGACAGAUUGAGAGUUCUUUCUCGAUUCCGUGGGUGGUGACGCAUGGCCAUUCUUAGUUGGUGGAGUGACUUGUCUGGUUAAUUCUGACAACAAAUGAGACUCUUGCAUGCUAAGUAGUUACACGACCCCCGAGUGGUCAGUGUCCAACUUCUUAGAGGGACAAGCGGCAUUCAGCCACCUGAGAUUGAGCAAAACAGGUCUGUGAUGCCCUUAG
rnacentral:ncRNA from 1 species